GUAUAUCUCUUUGACUGACAUCUGCUUGCAGGUAACCUCCUCAUACUCAACAGACGCCGUACCAACCUCUGCAACAUAAAGAUGUCCAAUUGCAUACCGCUAUUAGCAAGUAAAACUACCAGCAUCUGCAAUUUUACCGCUGAGUUGUGAGUUUACCAAUAUCCCUUUUUGAUGCUUUGAUCUUGCGUGUUCUUCUCCUGAUGUGGCAAUAAAUGACAGCAAACCCGAUGAUCACCGCUGCGACGAGGCACCCAAGCAGUACUCCAUAUCCUGCAUACUCUCAGAAGGCAAAGAAUUUCAAGUCCUCAGAAGGCAAAGAAUUUCAAGUCACGGGUAGAGAGGAAGGGGGGAGGCAGGUAAGAUAGACACACCUGUAUGCAUUUAGCUGUAGAACGUCUGGGAAUAACACAAGGUCGCUUUUCUGUCACUGUGAAUGUUCCAACGGAAGCAAAUUAAUACCAUGGCCACUCUCUAACCAGUCGUUAUUAGCAAUGAUGAAAAGCCAUUGCCGGCCAAGGGCCAUAACAGAAGAAGCCAAAGCACUUAAAAAUAUGGACCAAGGAAUCGGGCCAGGUCUGGACCAGAAUACAGCAUCAACUGAGUCUCAUGUCAGGUACAUUGGUUCAAUUGCUUUACAUAAUCUAAUCCAUUUGUCAUAGUCCUGUGACGUUGCUUGCUCUGUCAUACCAAGUUAGUUAGUAUCUGCGGCUGCAGAAAAUAUAUCUUGAAUAUUUGGAUUGCUUCUUUGCUAAUGGGUUGUCGUGAUGGCGGAGGUCCAAUAUGGGUUCGGGCAUAGCGGAGUCCCCAUCCUUGGUCCCAACCUGAGAAGCAGACAAAUGUGUCAACUCUAUGCAAAGCGGUAUUAGAUACUAUAUGAGCUAAAACAAUAUUCUACUUUGACGGCUUCAUAUGAGCCAAACUAAAAAACAAUAAGGUUGCGUCCACCAAAAGAGCAACAACUGGAGCAAGACAUAUGGCAUUGGGGUAUAAUGCUUGGUAAACUACUAUGUUCUCCCUGUUCUUUCCAAGUAACUUCUGUCCUUUGCGAUCAGUUUGCUUUUACUACUGGUCAGUCUGUUCUUGUGUUGAUUAAUUCGUUGGGCAUGUAGAUGCUAAGAUUAUCAAGUCAAAUUUGCCAAUUAUAGUAGUAAUACAGAAACACUCAAAAGCUACUGUAAAAAAAAACAGAACCGCUCCAAAAGCUCCAAGCUGUAAGAGUCCGCAUCUUAGCACAAUCCGCACUUAGUUUGCAUGGAUAUUCUGCUUAGGUCCACAAAACAAAGAAUUAACUGUUUUGUAAGACAUGUCACGUGAGGUCAUCAAAUUUGCAUAAACUAGACCCAAGUGUAGCACCAUGCUGCUUGAGCUGUAUUUAUGCCCUUUAGAUUUGAUACCAUGCUAUUUUAACUUCAACAGUGCCUAAACCUUUACAGAUCUGAUAGCAUGUUGCUUUAGCAGUAUGUACCUUUGAAUGCAUCUUAUGAGAGAUUAAUUACUCAGCAGUUCCUCUUGUUAUGCAUAUGAAGUUAGAUGCUCAAACAAACUGCGUUUUACAAGUAUUUGGCUUGAAAAUGGAUCCUGUGAAAUGUGUCUAAUUAAUUAAGAAGCCUGAAACAUCACUUUCAUGGGGUAGGCAUAGGA
rnacentral:lncRNA from 1 species